CUUUGUAGUUCUCCUGUGAAUGCUAACUCAAGGUCAAGAGAUUCCCCAAACCCUGUAACGUAAGAUUCCAACUCAUCCUGGGUUUUUACUGAGGCUCUGAGUAAGAUGCCAGGCCCACAGGCACGAGCUAACUCCCUGCUCUUAGUGCCAGGUACUCAGUCCCACCAGGAGGCAAACUUCACACCACCCGACCCUCCGGCUGCCUCCUCGGAUGCCCAGACACGGCCUCGCCGAGCACUUUACAACCAGACCGUCUUUUGGAAGUCUUCCCGUCUCGCCCCCCUGAUUUUACAAGGAAGGAAACAGCGAUCAGUCUGCUUGAUUUUGAGUGGCUCAAGAUGGCCUCAGUUGUGUCAACAGUGUAGAGGAGAAUGAUCCAUUUUUCACUGACCAUAAGAGGAGGAUAUUUAUGCUUCAAAACUGAAUAUGGUGGUUUCGAUGGAAGGACUGGAUGUUCUGAAGGCAAGGAUCAUAUCUAUUUGGUCACUGUUUCUUCCAUGCCUGGCUAAAAGAAGAUGCCCAGUAAAUAUUUAUUAAAUUGAUCAAGUAAAGAAUGAGUGAAUGAUUUAGUGAGUGCAUCAACAGAUCAAGAUUGUACCUUCUGUUUUGGGCAUUAUUAGUGAAGGACAGGCUUUGAGGAAGACACAGAAGUCCAAAGCCCAUGCCAGCAUUCCCCUGCAGGAAUAGACUACACACGUCCUCUAAGGAGUUGGGGCAUUCUCCCCAUCUUUCUUAUCAACAGAGCUCAGGUUUUCUUCUGGGUAACAAUGCUCCCAGUUAAGAUGCACAGUCACCUGGCCUCCCCUGCUGUGAAGAUGGCCACAGGACACAGUUCUGGCUACUGGUCUCUAUGUGGAGAGUUUUGCAGAGCUUCUGGAAAGACUUAACAGAGCCAGACUCAUCUGGAAUGUUUCUCUUUGCCCUUUCCCUUGGUUCCUACUUGGGUUGCAGGCAUUAUUAUUAUUAGAGCUAUGGGAGCCACCUUGCCACUAUGAGGGUGAAUUUGAUAGUUGAAGAUGGUGGAGAAGAAAGAUAAAAUUCUAGAUCCUUCAUGGCAUCGUUGAAUAGCUGCCCAGCUUUGCCUUAAUCUUGGCUUCUUAUUCUGUGAGAAUGAUAAGUCACGUUAUGUAACUGUAGUUGAGUAUUUUGUUACCUGUAGCCUAAUGCAAUAAUUAGGAAUUGGAUUCAGGAAUCAAAAGCAAAAGAUCUUAUGUUGUUCUUAACUGCUUUCUCAAUAAAAUCAAAGAAUAUUUGUUGAUCAACAAUGGAACAGUUAUGCCUGAAUCCUGCU